GUUGAGGCAGGCUUAUUAACAAAAAGCUUUAUGAGGAAAAUUUUCAUCUAGUUUCUUUAACCGUUUUUUCCUGCUUAUCAAGCAAUACAUGUGCACUAUAUAAAACUUCAAAGACUUAUUUCACUCCUAGCUUGAUUUCACUGUCCUACUUUUUUCUUUAUUUCUAACUCUUCUCACUACCCCAUAUAUUGACAGCAUAACUGAACAGUUACAAAUUUUCAGUAAAAUCAUCUGGUGAUAUCUACUGGGAUUACAGCAGCACACACCCUUGACCCAGCAAUGCUGCUUCUGAGACUAUUUUUAGAAAUGAAACACCAUUAUGUGAAGAUAUAUAUGUAAAUCUAUGCCAGAAAAAAAAAAAAAAAAACAACAAAAACAAAAAAAAACACUGAAUCUGGAGUCAUCGAAUCCAAAUCCAAGAGGCCUGGCUGUCAUGUCUUAAGCAGCUCCGUGGCUUGCAGGAUCUGAGUUCCUCAACCAGGGCUCAAAAAGGUGCUCCCUGCAAUAGAAGUGUGAAGUCCUAACCACCAGGAAAUUCCUGGAUCUGAGCUCUUCACCUCUGCAAAUGACUGUCUUUGACAGAAGAGAAGAAGGCAGAGAACUGAUCUAAGGGAGCUGAUCCAUGUUUCAGAGACAAGAGGAUGAAAAGGGGCAUGCUAGCCUUUGGUGAUUUUCCCUCUUCAUUCUGAACUCCAGCAUUUCUUCCUGACUUCAGACAUCCUCUGUGAAGACUUGUCUCGCCGUGAAAAGGUGCAGCCAGUGGACUGUGGGCUCCGUAUCUCCUAUGUUGGCCAUAUCAUAAAUGCUCAGGAGAUGGUGGUGGUUGGUCAGCUGCUUUGAGAGUAUAUAAUCUACCUGUCCAUUCCUAGCAAGCAUCCAUGCAUCUUGAGUUAAAAUCAUUACUUGUUGUUUGCUUUCACAUCAAGCAGCUUCUGGUUCUUGGAUUAAUGAGGAAAGAUGUCAACAUUGUAGCCUACAAACACUCUUGGAUUCAGGCUGAACAUCAUGACAGAUAAUUUUAUAACCAUGGAAAAAAAUGUACAUAUGUGCCAACUGACUUGGGACAUUUAGUGGUUCUUUUAAUUAAAACUCAGACAGGAAUUUUAAAUUUGUUACUGCAUAACCACUGAUGAUGUCAAUGAAUGUUUCAUUGAUCCUAACUUGUAGGAAAUUGCUGUUUAUAAUGUACACAUCACUCUCUUCCUCACCUUUCCCACCUUCAUUCCACUUUCACACAUCUGCUUGUAUCUUAUUACCAUGGCCUCUUAAAAAAAAGAAAAAGAAGAAAGAAACAUUUUGUCCAUUAAUUACUGUGUUACUAUAAGAUGUAAAUUGGAAUUCCAAUGUUCAUGUUUAUGAAAUAAUCAUGGAAUUGCUGUAUGUCACAUGAAUUCAAUUUUGAGUCCACAAAUAUCUGAGCAGGGACAAGUGUGCCCUGCAGUAUACAAGGAACUGGGGAUACAAAUACUGUACAUAGUCCUUCUCCUGUAGGAAGAGGGAAAAUAGAUCACCUAUAGCCCAGAGGGCAAAAUGUAAUAGAAGGAUGGGCACACCACAGAGGAAGCACAGAAAAAGUAAUGACAAGAGAAGAAAUGUUAAGGAAGCCUUUAUGGAAGAAGUAGUUGUUUAUUUGGGUUUUGAAGUAUGAAUAGGAGUUUGACAGGUGGUUGAGUAGAAAAAGAAAGUCACUCAAGUCAAAGAGAACCACAUUUGCAAAAGCACAGAGGUAAGAAAUUGUAUAUAUGUCUGCCAUUUAUUGAUCAUGGACUAUGUGGACAGAUGAAGAAAGGGUACAAAUAAGAAUGGAUUGGAUUCAUGGUUUUGAAAUUUUAAUUUAUUUGCACCUACUUCAGUAUUCUUGCCUGGAGAAUCCCAUGGACAGAGAAGCCUGGCAGGCUAUAGUCCAUAGGGUUGCAAAGAGUUGGACAUGACUAAAGCGAC
ensembl:lncRNA